AACGAACGCUGGCGGCGUGCUUAACACAUGCAAGUCGAACGCGAAAGGGACUUCGGUCCUGAGUAGAGUGGCGCACGGGUGAGUAACGCGUAAGUGAUCUACCCCUGUAUUUGGGAUAACUAUGGGAAACUGUAGCUAAUACCGGAUACGUUCAUGUUCUUGCGAGUAUAUGAAGAAAGAUGGCCUCUGAUUCAAGCUAUUGUACAGGGAGGAGCUUGCGUACCAUUAGCUAGUUGGUAGGGUAAUGGCCUACCAAGGCAACGAUGGUUAGCGGGUCUGAGAGGAUGAUCCGCCACACUGGAACUGAAACACGGACCAGACUCCUACGGGAGGCAGCAGUGAGGAAUAUUGCGCAAUGGGGGCAACCCUGACGCAGCGACGCCGCGUGGAUGAUGAAGGCCUUCGGGUCGUAAAAUCCUGUCAGAUGGGAAGAAGUGCAUGGUGGUUAAUACCCAUCAUGUUUGACGGUACCAUCAGAGGAAGCACCGGCUAACUCCGUGCCAGCAGCCGCGGUAAUACGGAGGGUGCAAGCGUUGUUCGGAAUUACUGGGCGUAAAGCGCGCGUAGGCGGUUUGUUAAGUCAGAUGUGAAAGCCCAGGGCUUAACCUUGGACGUGCAUUUGGAACUGGCAGACUUGAGUAUUGGAGGGGGUGGUGGAAUUCCCGGUGUAGAGGUGAAAUUCGUAGAUAUCGGGAGGAAUACCGGUGGCGAA
rnacentral:rRNA from 1 species